ACUCAACAUCAUUUUGAGGUUUCUUCAGUGGAUCUGUUUCAUUCAUUUGAAUUGCUUUAUAGAGUAUACUUUUUAUAAAUAAGCCACAUUUAUUUAUCUAACUGCCUUAUGAGGGAUACUGAAGUUGUUUCCACUUGUUCCCACUUGUUUGCAAUGUGGGUUGCAAUGAAUAUGGGUGUUUAUAUUAAUAUAUUUUCUCCUUGUUUAGCUGUAUACAGAAUUUCUCUAGUCUGGAAUUUGGAAUGUCUGGGCAUGAGGUCUCUGUUGCCCAGGCUGUAAUGCAGUGGUGUGAUCAGCUCACUGUAGCCUCUACCUCCCCAGCUCAAGCAAUUUUCCCACCUCAGCCUUCGGAGUAGCUGGGACUACAGGGCUUUUAGGAAUGUUGCAAGAUUCAAAGAAGAAGCAACCACAAUUCAAACGUUCUCCCGACCUCUUGUAAAAGCCGGAGAAGCGAGGAAACCCGGCAUUGUUGAGGGUGGGAGAGCGGAGCUGCCAGCUGCUGGGCCCCUGGAGCUGGGGGUGGCGCGGGCGGGGUUUGGGCGACCCUUUGGAGGAGAUCGCCGGUCCCCCAGCGAGGUGUGGAGGAUGAGAGCGCCUUAGGACCACCGCGAGCGACCACCCUGAAGAAGUCAGUGGAGGUCGUGACAGACUGCAAGCGAGACCCAUUCCAUUUCCAUCUGUGCUGCAACAGCGGAGGAGGAGAGACGACACACGACUUAGAUCACUCUGGGAGGGAGGGUCUGAAUUAAGGUGAUAGUCCGAGUUUGUGACCUGAGAUUCAUACUACAAACCCCGCGGAGAACAAGGAGGAUGACCGAGAGCUUUUGUCCCGUGCUUGUGAGCUGAAGCCAGGUGUUUGAAGUGUUUGAUCUUCUAGAAAGCCUUUGCCCACCUAAAGUAAUUGGGUACAGCUGAGGUUCUCAAACUUGAGCGUGCACCACAAUCACCCGAGGGGUAAUUAAAACCUGGAGUGCACUUUGGGAGGCCGAGGCGGGCGGAUCACGAGGUCAGGAGAUAAAGACCAUCCUUGGCUAACACGGUGAAACCCUGUCUCUACUAAAAAUACAAAAAAUUAGCCGGGCGUGGGGGCGGGCGCCUGUAGUCCCGGCUACUCGGGAGGCUGAGGCAGGAGAAUGGCCUGAACCCGGGAGGCGGAGCUUGCAGUGAGCCGAGAUCGCGCCACUGCACUCCAGCCUGGGUGACAGAGCGAGACUCCGUCUCAAAAAAAAACCAAAAACAACAACAACAAAAACACCUGGAGUGCUGGGGACCCCAUUCCCAGAGUUUCUGAUUCAGUGGGCCUGGGUUGGGGCCCGAGAAUGUGCAUCUCUAACAGGUUCUCAAGUGAAGCUGAUGCUGCAAGUCCCGGAACGGUGCUUCGACAACUGGUGAAUGCUAUGCUUUUCAGAUACUUUGAUAUCAAACUUUUGCAUGGCUGCAGCUACCUAAAGUGGUGUGUCAGUUUUACCAGAGGUUACUUUUCACUUCAUAUUGGCUUGGUUUAUUUUCAGAUUUAAGAGUGGAACGUUUGGAGUGUGUUAUUAAUAGAUCCAUUUACAAGGCUCAUUUGGAGGAAGCUGUUCCAGUGCUUUCACUUACUUUAUAGAUGACCAUAAUUUUUGGAGAUUUCCAUGAUAUAAUUAAAACUAUGUCUUGGUCAUUUGUGUGACCUGUUUCAGUUUAUAAAGUUUUCAUCUAUGUUAUCUUGUUAUGGUAUUGCUCUUAAUGUAAAUAUUUUAAAAUAUGUCUUUGUGUCUUUUUAGCAGCACUCCCAUGAGGUAGAGCGUUUGUUUUGCUUUUAUGGUGUUAGUCACAGAUCUAGGCUUAACUUCACAUUGUUUCCCAGUGAGUAUAUGUGCAGGUAACAUCAUAAAUGUUAUAAAAAGGGUGUGGUUACUGAAUAAUGAGAGGAAAACCCAGGCAAUACAAAGGAGUGUUAAUUAUAUGACUCUUUGAGACUUCAAAUACGUAGGCCUGCCCAGCUUGCUUCCUGGGAACCCUCCUUCCUGAUAAGCCUUCAAUUGGAAAGAGAAAGAGGCCUCAGCCAUAAAGGAAAACCUUUUUAGAGGGGUUCUGAGACCUAAAGGUCCAAGUUCCGGCAUUCCCUGAAGCCACAAGUUUUCUCUGCCUCACGGUUUCUCUGAAAUCAGUUAGUGACAAUCGAAGGCAGCCACGAAGAGGAAAAGUUAAAAAUAUGCAGACUAUGUGGCCCUGGAGAAGAGGAGAGAAGCAUUUUGAUCCAGUUUGCUUCAGUUAUAGGGAAGUUCCCAAGCUAACUAGAUUGGUGGGAUAGCACUUUUUAUUUUAUCUAUACAAUUUUUGUUAUUGUGCUUGAACUUACAUAGUAAAGUGAACAAAUAUUCAGUGUACAACUAAAUGAAUUCUUUAACAUAGAUGUAUUCACAAACAUACAUACUCACACUCACUCUUGUACCCACCUUCCAGAUUAAGAUAAUAGAGCAUUCCCAAAACCACAAAAGGCUGCCUUAUUCCUACUCCCAGCCAAUAACCCCAAAAGGUAACAGCUGCUGACUCUCUUGCCAUUGAAUGGUUUUACCUGUUCUUGAACUUUGUAUAAAUGGAAUCAUACAGUAUGUACUAUUUUGUGUCUGGCUUCUUUCGCUCAACACUAUGUCUGUUAAAUUCAUCUACACUGUUGCAUGUAGCAAGAGUUUGUUCUUUUUCACCUGCACCCUGAUCACCCCAUUUCCCCAGCCCCGGGAAACCAUUAAUCCACUUUCUCUCUAUAGAUCUGUCUAUUCUGAAAAUUUCAUAUAAAUGGAAUCACAAUAUUUUGUCCUUGUGACUGGCUUCUUGGCAUGUUUUCAAGGUUCAUUCAUGUUGUAGCCUACAUUAGUACCUCAUUUCCUUUUAUUGCUGAAAAAUACUGAGUAUACCACAUUUUAUUUAUCCAUUCAUCAGCUGAUGGGCAUUUGGGUUGUUUCCACCUUUUGGCAAUUGUGAAUAAUGCCACAAUGGACGUUUGUAUACAAGUUUUUGUGUGGACAGUGGAAAUAUGUUUUCAUUUCUCUUGGGUAUAUAUGUAAGAGUGAAACUGCUAGAUCAUAUGGUAACGAUAUUUAACUGGUUCAGGAGUUGUCGAACCAUUUUUCAAAGCAUCUGCACCGUUUUACAUUCCCACCUGCCAAAGCCAGUCAUUAGCAUUGUUUCUAUAGAUAUUAAAUUAACUAAAAGUAUCCCUUAUGGGAAACGAAGGGAUGGGGUGAAUUAAAGGAAUAGGUUGGGCUAGUUAACUGCAGCAGGAGCAUGUCCUUAAGGCACAGAUUGCUCAUGCUAUUGUUUGUGGCUUAAGAAUGCCUUUAAGUGGUUUACUGCCCUGGGCAGGCCAGGUGUUCCUUGCCCUCAUUCCGGUAAACCCACAACCUUCCAGCAUGGGCGUUAUGGCCAUCAUGAACAUGUCAUAGUGCUGCAGAGAUUUUGUUUAUGGCCAGUUUUGGGGCCAGUUUACAGCCAGAUUUUGAGGGGCUUGUUCCCAACACCCACCAGCAGUGUAUGAGGAUUCCAAUUUACCCACAUCUUCACCAAAGCUUGUUAUCUGUCUUUUUUAUUUUAGCCAUCCUAGAAGAUGUGAGUGGUAUCUUACUGUGCUUUUGGUGUACAUUUUCCUGAUGGCUAAUGCUAUUGAGUAUCUUUUUGUUUGCUCAUUGGUUAUUUGCAUAUCUUCUUUGGAGAAUGUCUCUUUAGAUCAUUUGCCUGUUUUUUAAAAAAUGGGUAGUUUGCCUUUUUAUUAUUGAAUUGUAAUAGUUUCUUAUAUAUUCUAGAUAUAAGUCCCUUAUCAAAUAUACAAUUUGUCAAAUUUUUAUCUCAUUCUGUGGAUUUUCUCUUCACUUUAUUUUUUAACUUUGAUUAAAUUAAUUAAUUCAUUUAGAGACAGGGUCUUGCUCUGUUGCCCAGGCUGUAGUGCAGUGGCGCAAUCAUAGCUCACUGCAACCCCAAACUCCUGGGCUCAAGUGAUCCUCCUGCCUUAGCCUCCCAAGUAGCUGGAACUACAGGUGUGUACCACCAUACCUGGCUAACUAAUCUUUUCACUUUUUUGAUAGUGUCCUUUGAUGCCCCAAAUUUAAAAAUUUUGAUAAUGUUUACCUUCUCUAAUUUUUCUUCUGUUGUUGUACUUUUGGCAUCAUAUGUAACAAACCCAAAGUCGUAAGAUUUAUGCCUAUGUUUUUUUCUAAGAGUUUUAUAGUUUUAGCUCUUACAUUUAGGUCUUUGUUCCAUUUUUGAGUUAAUUUUUGUAUAUAUUGUAAGGUAGAGGUCAAAUUUCAUUCUUCAUGUGACUAUCCAGUUGUCUCAUCAUCAUUUGUUGAAGACUAUUCUUUUCCCAUUGAAUUGUCUUGGCCCCCUGUCAAAAUCAGUUGAACAUCAUUGUGAGAGUUUGUUUCUGGACUCUCACUUCAAUUCAUCUGUAGGUCUAGCUUUAUGCCAGUACCACUAUCUUGAUUACUGUAGCUUUGUUGCUUUGUUGAAAGUUUUGAAAUCAGGAAGUUUGAG